UACGUAGGGGGCUAGCGUUGUCCGGAAUUAUUGGGCGUAAAGAGCGUGUAGGCGGCCAGGUAGGUCUGCUGUGAAAACUCGAGGCUUAACCUCGAGCUGUCGGCGGAAACCAUCUGGCUAGAGUCCGGAAGAGGAGAAUGGAAUUCCCGGUGUAGCGGUGAAAUGCGUAGAUAUCUGGAGGAACACCGGUGGCGAAGGCGGCAUCCUGGACCAACACUGACACUGAUGAGCGAAAGCCAGGGGAGCAAACGGG
rnacentral:rRNA from 1 species